AAACUAUUUCCCAGAAAUUACAUACCCGAACACACAAUGCAUUUUACAUGCUUUAUUUCUGUCUUAUAGAAAUCAUGACUAUGGUUCCAGACAUGAUGAAGAAAAUCUGUUGGUAAUUAAGGGUCUUGUGGGCUGUAGCUGCUGUGAGUUUAAGGGAGGGAGAAACUUCAGCAUCUUAAACUGAGCUCUAGUUUGGCUGUGUUAUGCUGUGUUAAUCUGAUUUAUACUAAGUACAAAACUGCAAUGAUUGUUACAUCUAUCCAAUGCUGCUAUUUCAAAUGGAAGUAAAUUUGCUAAAGGUUUUAGACAAAUGGUACAGGCAUCCCUUUCAUAAUAUAUGCAAUAUAUUCCAGAUGUUGAGAGAGUACAGAAGAAGAGGCCUGCAUCACUUGCAGAUAAGUUUAUUGUUGUUAUCCAAAGCUCUGCAGGAUUAACGUGCAGAACUUCAUGCGACUUAUUCUGACACAUUCCAUUGUAUGGCAUUCCAUGCUUUGAAUCAUGUGAAUACUCUUUAAAACUGUAACUGGGGCAUGGAUUUCAGGUCAUAGCAGGUCCUUGUAUCGUCACAAGGACCUUGAUUAAAAAUACUGGUUUUCACAUUGAACUCAGUGCUGAUCUAUUGGCACGUUUGGUAGCUUUUGGCUACGUUGGUUGUAAAUAUCUGAAAUAACCAUACUGGAAAGUUAUUAACUUGUAAAGGCUGCCUUAACUUACAGAGAGUAUUGUGUCCUCCCACUGAAGUGUUGUGUGCUUUUCUCUAGCAACCCAAAGGACUGACAGAAGUCAUAACCAAAAGUGGAAUGGAGAGAGCAACCGCACGGAGCAUCUCUUUCAGCCCUAAUAAUACAAUGGCAAAGCCAGUACAACAGAAGCCAGCAAGCCAUGUUGUUAAAGAACCAUCAAUUUCUCCAGGAAGAGAAGAUGACAGAAAGGGAAGUCCCUAUGGGCAGUGGGUUCCUGUCAAGAAGGAGGCCAAAAAGUUCCUAAACUUCUCACCCAAAUGUACACUGUUCCGGGCGCGCUAGAAUAGCUCACUGUUCCUCAGACUGCAGUAUAAUAAUGCCUGGGUAGUGAGGUCUGAAGUUUUCUGGUCAGUUUGAAGGCUUGUUAACGUUGAGUAUUUAUUUCGAUAUCUUUAAUUUUGGAAUCUUAGGUUUCUCUUUCAGAUGUAAAGCACAGUGAUCCAGAAGCCACAGAUGGAAUCUUGUGUAUAUUUGUAAAUAUUUUUGUAUUGCUUUAAUGGACUAGAACUUAACAGGUGGGUAAUUUUUUUCUAAAGAAUAGUUCAGUAGCUGUUAAUUUGAACAGUUAAAUUACAUUGUGUAACUGUUUACUUCAAGUAAAUAAACUUCAGUUUUGCACUGGCAUCUGUGUGUCACGUAUUGGGCUUAUAUUUUUACCUCUUGAGUGGUGAUUUCCAGGUUUAAAUUCCACUUAGCUAGUAUCACAAAAUGUGGCAGAAGAUAAUUCUGAAGGUCACCUUGAAAAUAGACC
rnacentral:lncRNA from 1 species